rnacentral:lncRNA from 1 species
GUAGGAGUAACAGGGCCGUAGGCGUGUAAAUGUGUGUCAAUGUGCAUGCACACAUGCGCAGACCAGCAUGUGUGGGGGUGGGGCGGGGGUGUGUCACAGGAGAGGGAAGUGAGGACUGGGCAGAAGCAAGGAAUGGCACUGUAUUCAGAGGUCCUACUGCUGACAUAAAUCUCAGGUUCCUGUGUGGAAACAUCCUUCAGAUACCUUAGAAAUCUAUACAUAGAACUUCCAUAUGACCCCGCAAUCCCACUCUUGGGCAUCUAUCUGGACAAAACUCUACUUA